GUGUCAAGGGCAAAUUAGAAAAAGAGAACUAAAUAAUUUUUUGAUUUUGUGAAACAUCAAUUAUUUUGGAUCAAUUUUUAGAGACUAAAACCUCAAUUAUUUUUUACUGAAGGGAGCAAUCUAUAUCUAUAUAUAAUAUAAAGCUAGACAUAGACAAGGUGAUGUGACACCUCUCUAUGGUCAGCAUUCCUAUUUAUCUUUUUUCUCUUUUUUUUUUUUUUUUUUUUUUUGGCAUUCUUUAAUUCAUUUUUCUACAUAAUUUACUAACUAAAGGAAUUAAUAAAAGCCUCAUAUAAUAAAUAUAGCAUCUAUCCCACGUAGCAAUGUCAAGGAUGAUCUUUAUGACCUUCUCUCUUAAUUAUUUAUAUUGAAUGUGCUAUAUUUAAAAAAAAAAAAAAACUGAAAUUCCUUUACUUUAACUUUUUUAUACUUCCUCCGUUUCAAUUUAUAUGAACCCAUUUGAUUGGACACGACAUUUAAGAAAGAGAGAAGACUUUUGAAACUUGUGGUUCAAAAUAAGCCUUGAAAAUUUGUGUGGCUGUAAAUCAUUCAUAAAGUGAAUUUGUUUCUAAAUUAGGAAAGAGGUCAUCCAUUUUAGCACGGACUAAAAAUAAAAUAGGUUCAAACAAAUUGAAACAGAGAGAGUAUAUAAUAUAAAGCUAGACAUAGAUAAGGUGAUGUGACACCUCUCUAUGACCAGCAUUCCUAUUUAUCUUUUUUCUCAUUUUUUUGAAUUUUUUAAUUCAAUUUCCUACAUAAUUUACUAACUAAAUGAAUUAAUAAAAGCCUCAUAUAAUAAAUAUAGCAUCUAGCCCACGUAGCAAUGUCAAGGAUGAUCUUUAUAACCUUCUCUCUUAAUUAUUUAUAUUGAAUGUGCUAUAUUUAAAAAAAAAAAAAAAACUGAAAUUCCUUUCUUUAACUUUCUUAACUAUGCUGGAAAAAUAAGAACGACCCAUUUAUCUUCUAUUAGAAAUUCCAAAAGUCAUUAGCCAACCAAUUAUGAUUUCUUUUGACCUGCUAAAUGAAUUCAAUGUAGAAUGAACGUGGAUGAAAUGGUUUUCAUUUGGUUGAAUUCAACAUAUAAUAAAUGUGAUAUUAAUUUAGAAUGUAAAUGAUUCACAAUUUAAUUGAAGAAAAAAAAAAAAAACUGAAAUGUCAUCAGCUACUAUAUAUGACAUUUAGUGAGGAUUAAGCCAAUCCAACAAAUUCCUCCACCAAGAAAUAUGGCCACGCCCAAAUACUUAGAAUUAUUCUCUGCCCAAAUACUUAGAAUUAUUCUCUUCUAUGUACUACCUAUGAUGGUGCUUAGAAUUAUUCUCUUCUAUGUACUACCUAUGGUGGUGCUUAGAAUCUCUUCUAUAUACUACCUAUGGUGUUGUGAGGAAGAAGAGGAGGGAUGAAAGAAAACAAAAAGGAAGAAAGAGGGAUAGCACUAAUAAUGUCCGGAUAUAUUAACACCGGUGAUAUGGUAUAAGUUUAAUGUGAUGGAACUAAUGUACAAAUUACUGUAGAUGGAAGGAAAAAGGGAAUACGAAGGCAAGAAGAAAGAAGGAUGCAAAAUUCAUGCAUCAUUUACUUAGGAAAUUAACAGGUAAUGUAUUGACACAUAAAUUCAAUCUCUUCAUGCCUGCGCGAAGUGCGGGUAAGUUCACUAGUAAUAAUAAAGAAGGAGAAUGAAGAGGUACAAGGAUAAUCAAUUAUGAGAGUUAUAUAUAUAGUACAUGCGUGUAGCAAAGAGGCCAGCCGGUGGUCAUGUAUUUGCAAAAUUGCCUCAUUAUUGUUAAGGAACUUUUCAUUUCUCUCUAUCUAUCUAUAUAUAUUAGCUGAUCGCUGAGUACUUUAAUUA